UAUUCCCACAUAACCAACAUUUUGAUUUUUGCACCUGAGUAAAUGUUUUACCUGAGAAGGACUUGCUUUAAAAUAAUAUGAAAACAAAUAAACAAAAGCAUAUAUUUAUGUUAAAAAAUGGUUAUGAAUGUAUCUACCAUAAAUGUAAUUCUAAAUUGAGAUUUCAUAUAUAUUUGCAUGAUAAAACAAAAUAACUAAAUAAAUAUUUAAUGUUUAUCAUUUGAAACUUGGUAUUUUUUAGGUACAUUAACGUUAAGCUAUAAUUUAAAGUAAUUGAUUUACAAAAUUAAGAUUAAAAAGACAAAGAAGACAAACUAUUAUAUAUCCAGCAAAAUAAAAUUCAUAAAUAGAAGGAAAACAAACCAACUC